rnacentral:rRNA from 1 species
AGCUCCAAUAGCGUAUAUUAAAUUUGUUGCAGUUAAAAAGCUCGUAGUUGAACUUGUGGUUUGUUUGGCUUGGUCCGACGCUCAUGCGUUGGUACCUGAGCCAUGCUCCCAUCCUUGGGUGGAACCUGUGUGGCAUUAGGUUGUCGUGCAGGGGAUGCCCAUCGUUUACUGUGAAAAAAUUAGAGUGUUCAAAGCAGGCUUAUGCCGUUGAAUAUAUUAGCAUGGAAUAAUAAGAUAGGACUUUAGUACUAUUUUGUUGGUUUGUGCACUAAAGUAAUGAUUAAUAGGGACAGUUGGGGGUAUUCGUAUUCCAUUGUCAGAGGUGAAAUUCUUGGAUUUUUGGACGACGAACUACUGCGAAAGCAUUUACCAAGGAUGUUUUCA